rnacentral:tRNA from 1 species
AUGUAGCCAAUUGGAUCAAG